CCUACGGGGGGCAGCAGUGGGGAAUAUUGGACAAUGGGGGCAACCCUGAUCCAGCCAUGCCGCGUGUGUGAAGAAGGCCCUCGGGUUGUAAAGCACUUUCAGUGAGGAAGAACGCCUGGUGGUUAAUACCCAUCAGGAAAGACAUCACUCACAGAAGAAGCACCGGCUAACUCCGUGCCAGCAGCCGCGGUAAUACGGAGGGUGCGAGCGUUAAUCGGAAUUACUGGGCGUAAAGCGCGCGUAGGUGGCUUGAUAAGCCGGUUGUGAAAGCCCCGGGCUCAACCUGGGAACGGCAUCCGGAACUGUCAAGCUAGAGUGCAGGAGAGGAAGGUAGAAUUCCCGGUAUAGCGGUGAAAUGCGUAGAGAUCGGGAGGAAUACCAGUGGCGAAGGCGGCCUUCUGGACUGACACUGACACUGAGGUGCGAAAGCGUGGGUAGCAAACAGGAUUAGAUACCCGGGUAGUC
rnacentral:rRNA from 1 species